UGAUGUGACAGGGUGUAUGUGUCUAACUGUGUGUGAGUUUGUAUAUCUGCUUGUGUUUCUGACAGUGUGUGUGUAUGUCUGGCUGUGUGUCUUUUUGACAGUGUGUGUGUGUGUGUACCUUUGUGUAUCUGAUUGUGUGUCUUUGAGACAGUGUGAGUGUCUAACUAUGUGUGUAAGUGUAUAUGUCUGGCUGUGUGUCUAAUACAGUGUGCAUGGGUCUGUGUGCAUGUCUAUGUGUGUAUUUGUUUGACUGUGUGUUGGUGUGACAGUGUGUAUGUGUCUAACUGUGUGUGAGUUUGUAUAUCUGCUUGUGUUUCUGACAGAGUGU